rnacentral:misc_RNA from 1 species
GGGCAAUGUUUACCGAUCACGUCUUGCCACAGAGUUCUCGACGAGUGGUAUUGACCCAUCUUACUCAUGGGAACGAUGUCUCCAGGCCUGUAAGCAAGAGAAAUCGAUGGCAAUGAUAGUAACAAGUAGAAUAACAUUGAAGCAAAUUUUCUACUUCCAUUCGCAGCCAUUCUGCAAUCCCGAUUUCGCCGAUUCCAGAUUCUCGUUUCCAAACUUAACAAUGAGCUCCUCAUUCCAUCGUCGCUUUACUCGUCUUUCG